GAGAUCAGGCUGUGCAAAGAUCGCCCUCGAGUGGGUGGCUCGGUGUCCCCACCCAAGGGUCGAGGGCGGCAGCACACGAGGCCCCCCACACACCAGGCGAGGUGGGCGUCGGGGGAGGACACAGAAGCAGCCACAGACCCAGACCCGAGCCCCUCGGGGAGGCCUCAAGAGCCAGAGGCCACAGCAGGCCUCAGAGAGGAGGAGGACAGGACAGCCCAGGCUCUGCAGUGUCUCAGUGAGGCUGGGCCGAAGAGGCCAGAGGGAGGUUGUCCUGGGGACGCUGGCCAGGGCUGGCCAGGGCUCCUCCGGGACUCUAAGUUACUUUGACACCCCGAAAGUUCUGUGUGCUGAGAAGAUGACUGAGCAUUUUCUCUAGGAGGUUUUCAGUUAGUAGUCAAUUCCUCAAGGUAAAAUUUUAGAAACACUGUUUUCUCUUUCGCCUCACCAGGGCCUGGUGGCGCACACCCGUGAUCCCAGCACUCUUCGAAGCUGAGGGAGGAGGAUCUCAGGUUUGAGCCACAAGCCGGGCAAUUUAGUGACUUAGCAAGAUGCUGUCUCAAAAUGAAAAAGGGCUGGAGGCGUAGCUCAGUGCGAAGGCCCUGAGUUCAAGCCACAUUACCCUCCCCCUAAAAAAAUUCUUCCAGGGUUUUAUAUUCAGCUUACAAAUCUUAUUUUUUUUCUACCUAUAAGUAGAGCAAAUUGCAGCUAUCUCUUUUUAGUCCCUUUCAAAGAAACAUUAGCCAAUACUUGGUUACAUUUGUAACCUUAGGAAAUUAAGUCUUCAAAUAGUUUAAAGUGUGUGUGUGUGUGUGUGUGUGUGUGUGUGUCUGUGGUGUGUGUGGUGCUGGGAAUCUAACCCAGGGCCUCAGGCUCACCACACAAGGAAGUGCUGUACCACUGAGCUACACCCCCAAACUUCACUUUUGUUUUAAGGGCAUCAAUUAUCUGAUCAACAAAGCAUUUAACCUAAUAAAUUAUGCCUCUAAAUACAAUGGACAUGAAUAUCCACUUGGCUGUAUCUCGAUAGUAUGGCCAUGAUACAUUUUAAAUUAGAAAAACAUGAAUCUCAUUUUAAUAGAUCAAGUUUUGUUAAAUAUUACCAGUAUGCAGGAAUACCAAACAUGGCCUGCUCAACACAAAAAUAUUAAUGUGAUGGCUUUAAUUAUUUUAAACCUUUGUGUAUGUCAUCUAAGAUGUCCCACAGACUAAAGGUAUUUACCCAGGGAAGGGGCUGACCAGAAGCCUUGCUUACUGUAAUCAUCUGGUCCAGAACUGUUUGGUUGGGCAGAAGUUCUGAAGAGGAGGGCUUCCUGGGUGCUGCCUCUUACAACAACUGAGCAAAGUAUUAUAUCAUCCAAGGAAGCCUGGGAUCGUCCACUCAGCGUCCCCGAGUCACGGGCUGCCAGAGGUCUGGGUGGUUUGGCGGUGGCAAGCUGAAUGGACUCCUAGUGGCCACGUAACUUGGACAGGGAUGGAGUCACAUCUCCAGGCUUGAGCUGACAGUGGUCUGAAUCGCACUGCCACUUGAUUUCCCGAUCGGACCCCUUCUUUGGCCCCUAGGACCUGUAAAUGUCUCUACCACUGUAAGUCACAGGUUUUGCAUCCAACAGAAUCCAAAGAUACAUGCUCAUAUCUAAGCUACUUGAGCCUUUGUGGAAUCCUACCUUCUUUGGCUACUGAAGGUUGGGCACCUCUCGUGACUUUAACUUAUAGUCCCAAGGUAUCGAGUCAGUCUACACACACCCCUCUCUGAGCCCCUAUCCUCAGUGUCAUGGAGUUGCUGAGAACUGUGAGAAAAUGUGCAUGAAAUCACUCGUGAACCACGAAGGACUACACAAACAUUAGUGCCUUGCAUGGAGGGAAGCGUGGAAGAGGUAUUUAGUGAUAGAGAUAGAUAGGUAGGUAGAUAAAUGAUCGAUAGAUAAUAGACAGGAGAGAGAAGAAAGAGAGGAUGUUGGUUUUCGUGAACCCAGAGAAUGUGGCAAUGAAGGAUCACUUCUGGCAAGGCACUGAAGCAAAUCGCACCGCCGACUGGACUGCGAUCCACCCUGACCAAUGGGCAGGACCCUUGCAGGCCCCAUGGAGAGCUGUGCAGAAGCCACUCAGCAUGCAGCUGCCCGGGCUUGGCGGGGCAGGCAGGAGCCUUCCGCCCUCCCGGCCCCUUGCACGCUCCUCCUGCCUGCCCUCCCGCACAGUUCUGCCCACCUGUCCUUACUGCUUAGCCUUGGCUCUGCCUUUAGAAAACCCUAAUGGGUGCGGAGGGGAGCCAAGUGCUGGCUUCUGACGGGGUGACACCCUUGUCCAAACUGUGGCCCCGAACCUGUCCCACAUGAGGUGUCCGUGAUCUCAGAGGCAAGGACCUUUUCGGGAGAUCAACCUGGAGCCUCCACCCACAAGUUAGGAGGCCCGGAGCACUCAGCCUCCAGCGCUGCUGGUUCCAGGACCCAGCUCCCCUCCAUUGCUUCAGCCUCGAAGCAAAUUACAAUAUGAAUAUACACCAGAAGAGUUUUUAAAACGAAGGUAUGUGUUAAAGGCUUGUAUUUAACAAAAUUAUACUUUGGGCGCUCAAAAACGCAAUGUCGUGCAAUUCUGUUGUUCAGAGAUCAAUUGCAAAAUGUACAGAAUAAGAACUCACAGCAUCCCAUUGGGACUGGGGCUCGGAAAUCAUGUGUCAGCUUAAACAUGUACUCUCAGGUCCUGCUUUUUCACCCCUAUUUGUGCCUUUCAGAUAACACACAAAGAAAAAAGCCUCACUUGGAAAGCUUUUGGGUUCUAUCACCAGAACCCACGGCCAAAUGACCUCCCUGGAUCACAAGGUCCCCGGCUCUAAGGGCGAGACUGUAUGUCACGCAGCCAGUCACUCCACAGCAAGUCUGCAUCCAUCUCCACUGCAGGCUAUGCUCCUCCAGUCCUGCAGUGUGGCGUCCACGCCCGGCACAGAGGUCAUGGCCAGGGCUUCAUGGGGCCCGGGAGGAAGACUGCAGGCUCGCCUUUAGGGUGACCUGGCCGGGGGCUGCUGUCAUGCUGGGGACGCUGAGUUACUCACCAGGAAGUCACCUCUGCGGGACUCAGACUGCUCAGGGAGGGCCUGGGCCUGGCCUCCGAUGGCAGCUGCCCCGAGCACACUUCCGGGAAGCCACUCCUGGGACAUCCUUACUUCCUGCUCUCUGCCCAGAGUCUGGAAGGAAGAUGAGGCCUCCUCGGUGGCAGCAUCCAGCUGUGCCUCCCUCUUUCCUGGCCUUCAGCCUGCCUCACCCCUUCCACAGACUCUUCCCUCCUCCGGCCUGGGGUCUUGGUUCCCAGAGCGGGAAGGACCCGGCCCUGCCCACCAGCCUCCUGGCUCCACACCCAUCGCUGGGUCUUCCGCAGAUUGUCUUCAUCCCCUGGCACAAUUGGAGUUCCAGAGAGAGCAAACCGUCUGGGGAGCACUGCGUGGAGCCCCGGACUUCAGGCCCCGGCAAAGGGGAGUGCUCAAUGACCUGAGUCUAUCCUUGUUCGUGGCAGAGUAGUGCUCCACUGCAUCUAAGCACUACAUCCUCUUUAUGCAUUCAUCUGUCGGUGGACACCUAUACGGCAGGAAGAGAGAUCUUUCGCAAAUGAGGAGAGAACCAAGAGAUGAAGAAGAGGGGAGGGGAGAGAGGAGGGGCGGAAGGUGUGUGAUGCACACGGGCCAGCACCCCACAGUGAACGCAACCACGCACUCAAACAUGGACUGAAAAAAUAAAAGUUUGAAAUGAGCCACAAAGACUCCCGACCCGACCCGCGGGCCGUGUGACCGUCAGUGCGUGUUGCAAUUGGCCCUGAGUCUGGGGCCGACGUGCAGCUGUCCCUCACAGAUGUACUCCCCCCCCCCCACAUCGCUCCAUCCUGCCUGCCAGGGACCAGCCUCUGGGUGACACAGCCGGCAUCAGGGAGGAGGUGUCAGCGGCCGGAAGAAAGCUGAGAUCCUACUUCCCUCCAAAUGGGAGUGGGUGUUGCUAUCCAGGAGGUCUUUAGCUGCUCCCGAAGUAUCGCAGGUGAUGAUGGGCCAGAAGAGAACAUUUUUUAACCCUCAGGGUAGGUCUGACAUAAGGCAGGGGGGCAGACUACACAGUCCUCGUGUUAAAGUUUUUAGUUUGCUUGGAAAUAACCACCCAGCACGAUCUCCUGAGCACUCACUCCAAGCAGAGUGUUGGUCCAGCCCGGGGCUUGGUCAUCCCUGAGCCAGGGCCGGUGCUUCAGGGGACAGCCACCAGCACCCUCCACAGAGAAGCUGAGACUCGGAGUCCCACGGCCGGCCAGCAGGGGGCAGGAGUCCACAGCAGGCGCCCCAGCUCCAGAUCCAGGUGCUUAAACACUGUGCCGUUCAUUUUGGUGAGCGAGGAGGAGGAGGAAAUGUUCCCCAUACUCCCAACACCUGGGAGCGACCACAAAUAAUUCUGAUGUUUUUCGUAACAACACAGAGCUCACACUACACACACAAAUGUGUGUCCUGCGCCUGUGUUUCUCAGUCGACACGCUAUGGGUGUCUUCUGCAAGCGCCGGAAGCAGGCAGGCCACCCUCAGGAUGUGCUUCGAGUCCCAGGUCCUCCCCUGCAGCAGACAACUGCAGGCGCUGUGCAGAGCGAUCCUGAGUCCAGCUGCCCAUCGGGGUGGGUACACAGGGCUCUUCCCGUGUUUGGGAUUUUUGAGUUGCAGUGGAUCCCACCUGGCGUUGUGGCCAGAACAGAGGGUGCAGAGCCCCCAGGAGGCUCGGAAGCCGGAGGGAGGGGACCCGCUGUCUGGAGCCAGGUGCCCCUCAGCGACAUCCCUCCUGAUCAGGCGCUUCACAAAGACAAGAGGACUACUUGCUUUCAGAAGGCUGGGAUUCUGUUGUCUUCAGUAGCGGAGCCUUCUUCCGGAAGCUGUAAAAUUUCAAACCUAAUGCCUGGUAAACUCCUCUAGUGCUUGCGUUUCUUAAACUGCCUCAAGGCUGUAGCCGCAGCCCUUUGCGUUUUUUAUUGUUUCUUUCGGAGCUGUGCGUUUGUGAGUCCUUGUGUGCAGUGUGUCAGGAUCACGCUCAUCCCAGGGAGUCGGUCCAUGCGUGGAACCCACCCUAAUCCCCUCUGCGUCCGCCCCCUCUCUCUGUCUCUCACUCCCCAUCCCUUUCCCAGAAGACCUGUCUCUCUGCGUCCCACUCUCUGGCUUGCAUUUUGCUCUGCUAAGCCGACCUCUCCUGGCCACCUGCCUCUUGGUUCUCACUGGGCUCCACCAUGCCCCCCAUUUCUCUAGAUCCUCAAAGGAACAAAAAAGUCCUUAAUCCCAUAAACACAAAACUAUACUUUUUUAGGAAAAAUAAUUGAAACGAAUUUUUUUCCACUGUGAUGGCUAAAUGACCCAGGAAGAGCAGGUGGCUUUCCGUCUUCUGCUGCUGAGCCUCAAGUCAGGGUGGCCGAGCUGGACGUUAGCUUGGGAAAGGCCAGGCCUGACCAUGGCACUGCCAGCAUGCACCAGACACAAGCUGUGUACUGUGCACAGAGCUCAGUACCCAACCCUGCUCUGGGGCUCCAGGGACCCCUGGGAGGCAAGGGACCCUAAGAAGAGACAGCCAGAGAGAAAGACGGCCAUGCAGCCACUCCUCUCCUCCCUGUAGUCCACAGAUUAAUGGUGCCCCGAAGACAUCCUCAUUCUGAGCCCUGGGACCCGGAUGUGCCACCUGACAUGGCGAAAGGAGGAUGCAAGUGUUAUUAAAUUGAGAGCCUCGAGACUGGGUGACUUGGGAUUAUCCAAGUGAGUCCAGUCUCAUCACAUGGAUCCGGAACAGUGAAGAGCACCCAGCUGCUCAGGAGGCUGAGGCAGGAGGAUCUCUUGAACCUAGGUACUGGAGACCAGACUGGCAGCAUAGUGAGACGCCCCCUUCAACUACACAAUGCAUCACAGGCCUGAAGACCUUUCUCGAAUUCA